AUUGAACGCUGCGGCAGGCUUAACACAUGCAAGUCGAGCGAGCGGCGGACGGGUGAGUAAUGCUUAGGAAUCUGCCUAUUAGUGGGGGACAACAUCUCGAAAUGGAUGCUAAUCCCGCAUACUCAUAGAUGAGCCUAAGUCGGAUUAGCUAGUUGGUGGGGUAAAGGCCUACCAAGGCGACGAUCUGUAGCGGGUCUGAGAGGAGGAUCAGCCACACUGGGACUGAGACACGGCCCAGACUCCUACGGGAGGCAGCAGUGGGGAAUAUUGGACAAUGGGGGGAACCCUGAUGCAGCCAUGCCGCGUGUGUGAAGAAGGCCUUCGGGUUGUAAAGUACUUUCAGCGGGGAGGCGUUACCCGCAGAAGAAGCACCGGCUAACUCCGUGCCAGCAGCCGCGGUAAUUC
rnacentral:rRNA from 1 species